rnacentral:rRNA from 1 species
GACGAACGCUGGGGGGGUGCCCCUUUCAUGCAAGUCGAGCGAGCUGAAUUCAAAGAUCCCUUCGGGGUGAUUUGUUGGACGCUAGCGGCGGAUGGGUGAUUAACACGGGGGCAAUCUGCCCUAAAGACUGGGAUACCACUUGGAAACAGGUGCUAAUACCGGAUAACAACAUGAAUCGCAUGAUUCAAGUUUGAAAGGCGGCGUAAGCUGUCACUUUAGGAUGAGCCCGCGGCGCAUUACCUAGUUGGUGGGGUAAAGGCCUACCAAGGCAAUGAUGCGUACCCAAGUUGAGAGACUGAUCGGCCACAUUGGGACUGAAACACGGCCCAAACUCCUACGGGAGGCAGCAGUAGGGAAUCUUCCACAAUGGACAAAAGUUUGAUGGAGCAACGCCGCGUGAGUGAAGAAGGUUUUCGGAUCGUAAAGCUCUGUUGUUGGUGAAGAAGGAUAGAGGCAGUAACUGGUCUUUAUUUGACGGUAAUCAACCAGAAAGUCACGGCUAACUACGUG